rnacentral:rRNA from 1 species
ACGAACGCUGGCGGCGUGCUUCAUACAUGCAAGGUCGAACGAGAAUCUCUAGCUUGCUAGAGAGGAAAGUGGCGGACGGGUGAGUAAUGUGUAGAGAAUCUGCCCUUUAGUGGGGGACAACAGUUGGAAACGACUGCUAAUACCCCAUAUGCGCGUACUUGAGAUAGUAUUCGUGAAAACUCCGGUGCUAAAGGAUGAGUCUGCAUCUGAUUAGCUAGUUGGCGGUGUAAUGGACCACCAAGGCGACGAUCAGUAGCUGGUUUGAGAGGAUGAUCAGCCACAAUGGGACUGAGACACGGCCCAUACUCCUACGGGAGGCAGCAGUAGGGAAUUUUGCGCAAUGGGGGAAACCCUGACGCCAGCAACGCCGCGUGAUUGAAUAAGCCCUUCGGGGUGUAAAGAUCUGUCAGUGGGGACGAAACUUGACGGUACCCACAGAGGAAGCAUCGGCUAACUCCGUGCCAGCCGCGGC